AGUGAACGCUGGCGGUAGGCCUAACACAUGCGAGUCGAACGGCAGCACAGUAAGAGCUUGCUCUUACGGGUGGCGAGUGGCGGACGGGUGAGGAAUACAUCGGAAUCUACUUUUUCGUGGGGGAUGACGUAGGGAAACUUACGCUAAUACCGCAUACGACCUACGGGUGAAAGCAGGGGAUCUUCGGACCUUGCGCGAUUGAAUGAGCCGAUGUCGGAUUAGCUAGUUGGCGGGGUAAAGGCCCACCAAGGCGACGAUCCGUAGCUGGUCUGAGAGGAUGAUCAGCCACACUGGAACUGAGACACGGUCCAGACUCCUACGGGAGGCAGCAGUGGGGAAUAUUGGACAAUGGGCGCAAGCCUGAUCCAGCCAUACCGCGUGGGUGAAGAAGGCCUUCGGGUUGUAAAGCCCUUUUGUUGGGAAAGAAAAGCAGCAGGUUAAUACCCCGCUGUUCUGACGGUACCCAAAGAAUAAGCACCGGCUAACUUCGUG
rnacentral:rRNA from 1 species